AGAACUUACAAGAGACUGCAUUUGUUAGCUUCGGGAACUCUGAGACAGGCUGCUGCAUGUANCUGUCGUCAGCUCGUGUUGUGAAAUGUUGGGUUAAGUCCCGCAACGAGCGCAACCCUUAUCCUUUGUUGCCAGCGGUNCGGCCGGGAACUCAAAGGAGACUGCCAGUGAUCAAACUGGAGGAAGGUCGGGGAUCGACGUCAAGUCAUCAUCGGCCCUUCACGAGUAGGGCUACACACGUGCUACAAUGGCGCAUACAAAGAGAAGCGACCUCGCGAGAGCAAGCGGACCUCAUCAANNUGCGUCGUAGUCCGGAUUGGAGUCUGCAAGCUCGACUCCAUGAAGUCGGAAUCGCUAGUAAUCGUAGAUCAGAAUGCUACGGUGAAUACGUUCCCGG
rnacentral:rRNA from 1 species